UACGUAGGGGGCAAGCGUUGUCCGGAUUUAUUGGGCGUAAAGAGCUUGUAGGCGGCCAUGCAAGUCAGCUGUGAAAACUCGAGGCUCAACCUCGAGACGUCGGUUGAAACCGUAUGGCUAGAGUCCGGAAGAGGAGAGUGGAAUUCCCGGUGUAGCGGUGAAAUGCGCAGAUAUCGGGAAGAACACCCGUGGCGAAGGCGGCUCUCUGGACCGUAACUGACGCUGAGGAGCGAAAGCGUGGGGAGCAAACAGG
rnacentral:rRNA from 1 species